rnacentral:rRNA from 1 species
GCUCAGGAUGAACGCUAGCGGCAGGCUUAACACAUGCAAGUCGAGGGGUAUAGUUCUUCGGAACUAGAGACCGGCGCACGGGUGCGUAACGCGUAUGCAAUCUACCUUUUACAGAGGGAUAGCCCAGAGAAAUUUGGAUUAAUACCUCAUAGCAUAGCAGUCUCGCAUGAGAUCACUAUUAAAGUCACAACGGUAAAAGAUGAGCAUGCGUCCCAUUAGCUAGUUGGUAAGGUAACGGCUUACCAAGGCUACGAUGGGUAGGGGUCCUGAGAGGGAGAUCCCCCACACUGGUACUGAGACACGGACCAGACUCCUACGGGAGGCAGCAGUGAGGAAUAUUGGACAAUGGGCGCAAGCCUGAUCCAGCCAUGCCGCGUGCAGGAUGACGGUCCUAUGGAUUGUAAACUGCUUUUAUACGAGAAGAAACACUCCAACGUGUUGGAGCUUGACGGUAUCGUAAGAAUAAGGAUCGGCUAACUCCGUGCCAGCAGCCGCGGUAAUACGGAGGAUCCAAGCGUUAUCCGGAAUCAUUGGGUUUAAAGGGUCCGUAGGCGGUUUAGUAAGUCAGUGGUGAAAGCCCAUCGCUCAACGGUGGAACGGCCAUUGAUACUGCUAAACUUGAAUUAUUAGGAAGUAACUAGAAUAUGUAGUGUAGCGGUGAAAUGCUUAGAGAUUACAUGGAAUACCAAUUGCGAAGGCAGGUUACUACUAAUGGAUUGACGCUGAUGGACGAAAGCGUGGGUAGCGAACAGGAUUAGAUACCCUGGUAGUCCACGCCGUAAACGAUGGAUACUAGCUGUUGGGAGCAAUCUCAGUGGCUAAGCGAAAGUGAUAAGUAUCC